rnacentral:rRNA from 1 species
UACGUAGGGUGCGAGCGUUUGUCCGGAAUUAUUGGGCGUAAAGAGCUUGUAGGCGGUCUGUCGCGUCUGCUGUGAAAAUCCGGGGCUCAACCCCGGACUUGCAGUGGGUACGGGCAGACUAGAGGUGUGGUAGGGGAGACUGGAAUUCCUGGUGUAGCGGUGAAAUGCGCAGAUAUCAGGAGGAACACCUAGUGGCGAAAGGCAGCUCGC